CAAGUCGUGCGAGAAAGUAUCUUCGGAUAUGAGUAGAGCGGCGGACGGGUGAGUAACGCGUAGGAAUCUACCUAGUAGAAGGGGAUAGCCCGAGGAAACUCGGAUUAAUACCGUAUACCUCCUUCGGGAGAAAGAAGGCCUCUCUUUGAAGCUUUCGCUACUAGAUGAGCCUGCGUAAGAUUAGCUUGUUGGUGAGGUAAAGGCUCACCAAGGCUACGAUCUUUAGCGGGUCUGAGAGGACGAUCCGCCACAUUGGGACUGAGACACGGCCCAGACUCCUACGGGAGGCAGCAGUGGGGAAUAUUGGACAAUGGAGGCAACUCUGAUCCAGCCAUGCCGCGUGCAGGAAGACUGCCCUAUGGGUUGUAAACUGCUUUUAUACAGGAAGAAAUGUACCUACGUGUAGGUAUUUGACGGUACUGUACGAAUAAGGAUCGGCUAACUCCGUGCCAGCAGCCGCGGUAAUACGGAGGAUCCAAGCGUUAUCCGGAAUCAUUGGGUUUAAAGGGUCCGUAGGCGGUCUUUUAAGUCAGAGGUGAAAUCCUACAGCUCAACUGUAGAAUUGCCUUUGAUACUGAAGGACUUGAGUUAUUGUGAAGUAAUUAGAAUGUGUGGUGUAGCGGUGAAAUGCAUAGAGAUCACACAGAAUACCGAUUGCGAAGGCAGAUUACUAACAAUAUACUGACGCUGAGGGACGAAAGCGUGGGGUAGCGAACAGGAUUAGAUACCCUGGUAGUCCACGCCGUAAACGAUGUCUACUAGAAGCUCGGAACCUCGGUUCUGUUUUUCAAAGCUAACGCAUUAAGUAGACCGCCUGGGGAGUACGGCCGCAAGGUUAAAACUCAAAUGAAUUGACGGGGGCCCGCACAAGCGGUGGAGCAUGUGGUUUAAUUCGAUGCAACGCGAAGAACCUUACCUACACUUGACAUACAGAGAACUUACUAGAGAUAGUUUGGUGCCUUCGGGAACUCUGAUACAGGUGCUGCAUGGCUGUCGUCAGCUCGUGUUGUGAGAUGUUGGGUUAAGUCCCGCACGAGCGCACUCCUAUCCUUAGUGCUAGCAGGUAUGCUGGAACUCUAAGAGACUGCCGGUGAUAAUCUGGAGAAGGUGGGGGACGACCUCCAAGUCAUCAUGGCCUUUACUGGGUAGGUAACCACAGUGCUAUAAAUGGGCGCACAUAUACAGAGAGGUGGUGCGUA
rnacentral:rRNA from 1 species